UCGCGAUUGUGACGAUCGUGUUCGUGC
rnacentral:piRNA from 1 species